AGGUUGGUCCCAUAGAAAACCUUGACCCAGCACCAAUCAAGGUUGAUGUUGGAAACAAGUACUCAGUCUUUUACCACAUCAGUGCUGUGCAUCCAAUUGAGUACUUGAGUCAUUUCAUCAUGAACAACAGAUCAGGCAUCAUCACUAUCCAAAGGAAGCUCAGCCAAGAGAGAACGAGCACAGUGAACUUGGACAUACAGGCUUCCCUGGAAAAUGGCAGUGGGGAGAAAGCCAAUGCCACG